CACAAGUGUGCAACUAUGUACGCUGACUAAAGUGUUGCGGGAAAGCUGACUCCACAUCUGCCGACACCACACACGCCGACGCCACACACGCUGACACCGCGUAUAGAACUGGAGUGGGAGAUCAGCCUAUUCCGAACCGAUGACCGGAGGGUCUCAACUCGGCGUAGCCAGUCUUCUCCGGACCGCUGAGCAUCUAAGCCGAACUUGGACAUCUUUAACCCAAUCUAAGAAUUCUACACUUAAGAACCCAUUCUUAACACACUUUCGAACAAUUGUUAACUUAAGAAACCAACAAUAAAUUGUAAUCACGCACAUCGAACCAUGAACGGAGUAUUCUUAAUCAGAAGAAGUUGAAGACGAACACGAGCACUCCAAGACACACAGAUAUCGACACACAGAUAGUUGUAAAGGGUGAGUAAAGCGCUUCCUCUCUUCCUCCUCAAGACAAUAAAAUCAGACAAAAUUGAAUAUUCCCCUUAACAUAAACACAAUCAAUAAAAAAUCCAAACACCAUUUACAAAUAUCGAAAAUUAUAUUGUAAGCCAAAAACAACUAUUAAAAAUACA